UUUGUUGGUAUGUGGUGCUGAGGAUCGAACCCGGGCCACACGCAUUCCAGGCGAGCGCACUACCGCUUGAGCCACAUCCCCAGCCCCGAAAAGAACUAUUUCUAAACAUUGACUUAUUUAGAAUUAUUCUUCAAAGAAUAAUUACUUUUUUAGUACAAUACCUGUCUAUCUUGAGAUUUCAAAAAGGAAAGACAAAGUUGAAUAUAUGAUGCAUGCCAGGUACUGUACAAUUUUAUAUAAUUAUUUCAUUUAAAAGUGUAAGAGUCUGUACAUAGUGGCUCAUGCCUGGAAUCUCACCUACUUGGGAUACUGAGGUAGGAGUAUCUCAAAUUUAAGAUCAGCCUGGGCAACUUAGUGAAAUCCAUCCCAAAAUAAAAUAAAAAAGGGCUGGGGGUAUAGCUCUGUGGGAGAGUACUCAUGCAUGAUGCCCUCAGUUCAAAGUUCUGGGAUGCCUGAAAUGUUUCAUAUCUGUUGUGGGUGGCAAUUACUUACAUACAAAUUUAUUGAGACAUAUACUUAAGAUUUGUGCAUUUUCUAUGUUAUAUCUGCAUUAAAAAAAAACAAAAACAAACUUUGUAGUUGUUGAUGGACAGCAUGCCUUUAUUGUAUGUGGUACUGAGGAUGGAACCCAGUGCCUCAGACAUGCAAGGCAAGUGCUCUACCACUGAGCUACAGCCCCAGCCCUGUACCUGCAUUUAAAAAUGUAAAAUAAGACUUCACUGAGAUUUAUUCCUGAUUUAUAGUUCUUCAGGUCAUUCCUCUAACUCUUUUCAUUUACCUCUGUUCAUUUAGUCAGUUUGCUAGGAGGUUUCAUUCUAUAUUCUCCUAUUACAAAAAUGUAGGUGAAGGGAAAACAACUAGAAGUGCAAAAGGUUUUUACAAAGAAGUCUCAUGGAAAAUUAAUUGUUAAUAAGAAACUAUACUUUCCCUAUCCAUUCUGCAACUAAUACCAGUUUUCUGAUUGAUUUCCUCAUAGUACUGACAUUCUGUUUUAUGCUUCUUCGCAUUUCUUUUUAUUUUAUUUUUUCUUGGUAAACAGGGAUUGAACCCAGGGGUACUUAACCAC
rnacentral:lncRNA from 1 species